rnacentral:rRNA from 1 species
ACGGAGGGUGCGAGCGUUAAUCGGAAUCACUGGGCGUAAAGCGCACGUAGGUGGUUGGGUAAGUCAGAUGUGAAAUCCCCGGGCUCAACCUGGGAACUGCAUUUGAAACUGCUUGGCUAGAGUCCGAUAGAGGGGGGUGGAAUUCCAGGUGUAGCGGUGAAAUGCGUAGAUAUCUGGAGGAACAUCAGUGGCGAAGGCGGCCCCCUGGAUCGAGACUGACGCUGAGGUGCGAAAGCGUGGGUAGCAAACAGG